CCUACGGGAGGCAGCAGUGGGGAAUUUUCCGCAAUGGGCGAAAGCCUGACGGAGCAAUACCGCGUGAGGGAAGAAAGCCUACUGGGUUGUAAACCUCUUUUUUCAGGGAGGAAAAAAAUGACGUGUACCUGAAGAAUAAGCAUCGGCUAACUCCGUGCCAGCAGCCGCGGUAAU
rnacentral:rRNA from 1 species